AUUGAACGCUGGCGGCAGGCCUAACACAUGCAAGUCGAACGGUAGCACAGAGAGCUUGCUCUCGGGUGACGAGUGGCGGACGGGUGAGUAACGUCUGGGAAACUGCCCGAUGGAGGGGGAUAACUACUGGAAACGGUAGCUAAUACCGCAUAACGUCGCAAGACCAAAGUGGGGGACCUUCGGGCCUCACACCAUCGGAUGUGCCCAGAUGGGAUUAGCUAGUAGGUGGGGUAAUGGCUCACCUAGGCGACGAUCCCUAGCUGGGCUGAGAGGAUGACCAGCCACACGGGAACUGAGACACGGUCCAGACUCCUACGGGAGGCAGCAGUGGGGAAUAUUGCACAAUGGGCGCAAGCCUGAUGCAGCCAUGCCGCGUGUAUGAAGAAGGCCUUCGGGUUGUAAAGUACUUUCAGCGGGGAGGAAGGCGGUGGAGUUAAUAACUUCACCGAUUGACGUUACCCGCAGAAGAAGCACCGGCUAACUCCGUGCCAGCCGCCGCGGUAA
rnacentral:rRNA from 1 species